rnacentral:rRNA from 1 species
GAUGAACGCUGGCGGCGUGCUUAACACAUGCAAGUCGAACGGAAAGGCCCAAGCUUGCUUGGGUACUCGAGUGGCGAACGGGUGAGUAACACGUGGGUGAUCUGCCCUGCACUUCGGGAUAAGCCUGGGAAACUGGGUCUAAUACCGGAUAGGACCACAUUUUGGAUGGUGUGGUGGAAAGUUUUUCGGUGUGGGAUGAGCUCGCGGCCUAUCAGCUUGUUGGUGGGGUAAUGGCCUACCAAGGCGUCGACGGGUAGCCGGCCUGAGAGGGUGUACGGCCACAUUGGGACUGAGACACGGCCCAGACUCCUACGGGAGGCAGCAGUGGGGAAUAUUGCACAAUGGGCGCAAGCCUGAUGCAGCGACGCCGCGUGGGGGAUGACGGCCUUCGGGUUGUAAGCUCCUUUCGCUAGGGACGAAGCGUUAUGUGACGGUACCUGGAGAAGAAGCACCGGCUAACUACGUG